rnacentral:tRNA from 1 species
GGGGAAAUAGCUCAGUUGGUUAGAGUGCUGGUCUGUCACGCCAGAAGUCGCGGGUUCGAACCCCGUUUUCCCCC